AACUACCGAGCUAGAGUGUGUCAGAGGGAGGUGGAUCCGCGUGUAGCAGUGAAAUGCGUAGAUAUGCGGAGGAACACCGAUGGCGAAGGCAGCCUCCUGGGAUAACACUGACGCUCAUGCACGAAAGCGUGGGGAGCAAACAGGAUAGAUACCCUGGUAGUCCACGCCCUAAACGAUGUCAACUAGCUGUUGGGGCUCGGGCCUUGGUAGCGCAGCUAACGCGUGAAGUUGACCGCCUGGGGAGUACGGUCGCAAGAUUAAAACCAAAGGAAUUGACGGGGACCCGCACAAGCGGUGGAUGAUGUGGAUUAAUUCGAUGCAACGCGAAAAACCUACCUACCCUUGACAUGUCUGGAAUGCCGAAGAGAUUUGGUAGUGCUCGCAAGAGAACCGGAACACAGGUGCUGCAUGGCUGUCGUCAGCUCGUGUCGUGAGAUGUUGGGUUAAGUCCCGCAACGAGCGCAACCCUUGUCAUUAGUUGCUACGAAAGGGCACUCUAAUGAGACUGCCGGUGACAAACCGGAGGAAGGUGGGGAUGACGUCAGGUCCUUCAUGGCCCUUAUGGGUAGGGCUUCACACGUCAUACAAUGGUCGGGACAGAGGGUCGCCAACCCGCGAGGGGGAGCCAAUCCCAGAAACCCGAUCGUAGUCCGGAUCGCAGUCUGCAGCUCGACUGCGUGAAGUCGGAAUCGCUAGUAAUCGCGGAUCAGCAUGUCGCGGUGAAUACGUUCCCGGGUCUUGUACACACCGCCCGUCACACCAUGGGAGUGGGUUUUACCAGAAGUAGUUAGCCUAACCGCAAGGGGGGCGAUUACCACGGUAGGAUUCAUGACUGGGGUGAAGUC
rnacentral:rRNA from 1 species